UACGAAAGGUGCAAGCGUUACUCGGAACUACUGGGCGUAAAGUGUGCGCAGGUGGCCGCGCAAGUCGAGUGUGAAAUCCCCGAGCUUAACUUGGGAAUUGCGCUCGAAACUACGUGGCUCGAGUGUGGCAGAGGAAGGUGGAAUUCCACGUGUAGCGGUGAAAUGCGUAGAGAUGUGGAGGAACACCGAUGGCGAAGGCGGCUUUCUGGUCUGUUCUUGACGCUGAGGCGCGAAAGCUAGGGUAGCAAACGGG
rnacentral:rRNA from 1 species